rnacentral:rRNA from 1 species
AGAGCGAACGCUGGCGGCAGGCCUAAUACAUGCAAGUCGAGCGGUCCCUUCGGGGGCAGCGGCGGACGGGUGAGUAACGCGUGGGAACGUGCCCUUUGGUACGGAACAACUGAGGGAAACUUCAGCUAAUACCGUAUGUGCCCUUCGGGGGAAAGAUUUAUCGCCAUUGGAGCGGCCCGCGUUGGAUUAGGUAGUUGGUGAGGUAAAGGCUCACCAAGCCUACGAUCCAUAGCUGGUCUGAGAGGAUGAUCAGCCACACUGGGACUGAGACACGGCCCAGACUCCUACGGGAGCAGCAGUAGGGAAUCUUGCGCAAGUCGGGACAAAGCCUGACGCACGCCAGUCGCCGCGUAGAAUGAUGAAGGUCUUAGGAUUAGUAAAACUUUCGUUUACCGACCGGGGUACGAGUAAGU